UUCCAUCGCUAAGUCAAGGCUUCUUCCUACGACUAUACGUCGUCUUGUUUCUCCAUGGAGGUCUGUCUGUUACAGCUUUGGUAGAUCAACAAUGUCCCGCACCGAAUCUCUUUCUGAGGCUAGGUUGACAGGCCUUCGUCUUGAAGGCCCGUCGUAAGGGUCAUAUGUGUUUUGUUUUUGAGUUGAGUUCUGCCUCUGCCUUUUUCGGUGGCUCAGUGGUAGAACUCUUAGUAACAUCCCACACAUUC
rnacentral:snoRNA from 1 species